GACGAACGCUGGCGGUGUGCUUAACACAUGCAAGUCGUGCGACGAACCAGACUUCGGUCUGGGGCAAAGCGGCGAACGGGUGAGUAACACGUGGGUAAUCUGCCCCGAUGACUGGGACAACCCGAGGAAACUCGGGCUAAUACCGGAUGUGGUGCCUGGACUCAAGUCCGGUCACUAAAGGUAGCUUCGGCUUCCGCAUUGGGAGGGGCCCGCGGCCCAUUAGCUUGUUGGUGGGGUCAAGGCCUACCAAGGCAACGAUGGGUAGCUGGUCUGAGAGGACGAUCAGCCACACUGGGACUGAGACACGGCCCAGACUCCUACGGGAGGCAGCAGUGGGGAAUCUUGCGCAAUGCGCGAAAGCGUGACGCAGCAACACCGCGUGAGGGAAGACGGCCUUAGGGUUGUAAACCUCUUUCAGAUGGGACGAAGGUGAUGCGGUGAAUAGCCGAUGUCAUUGACGGUACCGUCAGAAGAAGCUCCGGCUAACUACGUGCCAGCAGCCGCGGUAAUCG
rnacentral:rRNA from 1 species